ACCAGCAAUCCUGAGAGGACCCACAGACCCUCUGAAAAAAGCGGACUGUUCCUGCAACACCCAGGAGACACCCCAAAUACUAUGAAGAAUCUGAGGCACAAAGAGGUCAACUGGCUUGCCCAAGGGUACUUGGCAGGUCUCAAAAACAUCUUCUACCAUAUUGGAACAGAAAAAAAUGAAGACAAUGAGCAUAUCCUCUUACACAUGACUUCUAUUGAAAUGUUUCCAAAUCUUAAAUGCUAUAAUAUUUGCUUUGUUCCUUAUCAACUUUUACAAACAAAUCUUUAGAAACUGCUUUACAAAAAUAAUAUAUGUUCCCAUUUAUUUAUAUGUUCAUUGCUUACCUCCAUUCACUAGAAUGUAAGCUCCAUGAUGGGAGAAAUACUGUCAGCAUAUUUUCAUUUCAUUGUAUAUCCUUAAUACUUUGAGUAAUGAAUAGAUGAGUGAAACGUGUAGAAUUUAGUAAGUAUAAAUAUGCAAAAAUAAAACUUUCAAUUUAACGUACCCAUUUUA